UACGGAGGGUGCAAGCGUUGCUCGGAUUUAUUGGGCGUAAAGGGUAGGUAGGUGGUCUUAUUUGUCUAGGGUGAAAUCCUUGAGCUUAACUCAAGAAGUGCCCUAGAAACGGUAAGACUAGAGUCCUGGAGAGGGUCGUGGAAUUCCCGGUGUAGCGGUGAAAUGCGUAGAGAUCGGGAGGAACACCAGAGGCGAAGGCGGCGACCUGGACAGGUACUGACACUAAACUACGAAAGCGUGGGGAGCAAACAGG
rnacentral:rRNA from 1 species